UGAUGUAGUCAUGGCUGCCCUCU
rnacentral:piRNA from 1 species